rnacentral:rRNA from 1 species
UACGUAGGGGGCAAGCGUUGUCCGGAAUCAUUGGGCGUAAAGAGCGUGUAGGCGGCCUGGUAAGUCCGCUGUGAAAGUCCAGGGCUCAACCCUGGAAUGCCGGUGGAAACUGUCAGGCUCGAGUCCGGAAGAGGAGUGUGGAAUUCCUGGUGUAGCGGUGAAAUGCGCAGAUAUCAGGAGGAACACCAAUGGCGAAGGCAGCACUCUGGGACGUGACUGACGCUGAGACGCGAAAGCGUGGGGAGCAAACAGG